rnacentral:rRNA from 1 species
AUUGAACGCUGGCGGCAGGCCUAACACAUGCAAGUCGAGCGGAUGAAGGGAGCUUGCUCCUGGAUUCAGCGGCGGACGGGUGAGUAAUGCCUAGGAAUCUGCCUGGUAGUGGGGGAUAACGUCCGGAAACGGGCGCUAAUACCGCAUACGUCCUGAGGGAGAAAGGGGGGGAUCUUCGGACCUCGCGCUAUCAGAUGAGCCUAGGUCGGAUUAGCUAGUUGGUGGGGUAAAGGCCUACCAAGGCGACGAUCCGUAACUGGUCUGAGAGGAUGAUCAGUCACACUGGAACUGAGACACGGUCCAGACUCCUACGGGAGGCAGCAGUGGGGAAUAUUGGACAAUGGGCGAAAGCCUGAUCCAGCCAUGCCGCGUGUGUGAAGAAGGUCUUCGGAUUGUAAAGCACUUUAAGUUGGGAGGAAGGGCAGUAAGUUAAUACCUUGCUGUUUUGACGUUACCAACAGAAUAAGCACCGGCUAACUUCGUG